AGCGAACGCUGGCGGCAGGCCUAACACAUGCAAGUCGAACGAACCUUUCGGGGUUAGUGGCGGACGGGUGAGUAACACGUGGGAACGUGCCUUUAGGUUCGGUAUAACUCAGGGAAACUUGUGCUAAUACCGAAUGUGCUCUUCGGGGGAAAGAUUAAUCGCCUCUAGAGCGGCCCGCGUCUGAUUAGCUAGUUGGUUGAGGUAAUGGCUCACCAAGGCGACGAUCAGUAGCUGGUCUGAGAGGAUGAUCAGCCACAUUGGGACUGAGACACGGCCCAAACUCCUACGGGAGGCAGCAGUGGGGAAUCUUGCGCAAUGGGCGAAAGCCUGACGCAGCCAUGCCGCGUGAAUGAUGAAGGUCUUAGGAUUGUAAAAUUCUUUCACCGGGGACGAUAAUGACGGUACCCGGAGAAGAAGCCCCGGCUAACUUCGUG
rnacentral:rRNA from 1 species